GCCCUAGUAGCUUAAAUUCUAAAGCCCUGGUCUUGUAAACCAAAAAUGAGAUAUACCCCUCCUAGGCCAA
rnacentral:tRNA from 1 species